AACGAACGCUGGCGGCAGGCCUAACACAUGCAAGUCGAACGCCGUAGCAAUACGGAGUGGCAGACGGGUGAGUAACACGUGGGAACAUACCCUUCGGUUCGGAAUAACUCAGGGAAACUUGAGCUAAUACCGGAUACGUCCGCGAGGAGAAAGAUUCAUCGCCGGAGGAUUGGCCCGCGUCUGAUUAGCUUGUUGGUGAGGUAACGGCUCACCAAGGCGACGAUCAGUAGCGGUCUGAGAGGAUGAUCAGCCACACUGGGACUGAGACACGGCCCACGACUCCUACGGGAGGGCAGCAGUGGGAAGUAUUGGACAAUGGGCGGCAAGCCUGAUCCAGCAAUGCCGCGUGAGUGAGGAAGGCCUUAGGGUUGUAAAGCUC
rnacentral:rRNA from 1 species